rnacentral:rRNA from 1 species
AUACGAGGGGUGCAAGCGUUAAUCGGAAUUACUGGGCGUAAAGCGUUCGUAGGCGGUUUGUUAAGCAAGAUGUGAAAGCCCUGGGCUCAACCUGGGAACUGCAUUUUGAACUGGCAAGCUAGAAUACUGUAGGGGGUGGUGGAAUUUCCAGUGUAGCGGUGAAAUGCGUAGAGAUUGGAAGGAACAUCAGUGGCGAAGGCGGCCACCUGGACAGAUAUUGACGCUGAGGAACGAAAGCGUGGGGAGCGAACAGGAUUAGAAACCCUAGUAGUCC